CCGUUGAAUACGCUCAUUUAUCGUUCGAUUCAACUUAAAAAUAUCUAAUUAAGUAAUUUUAAUUUUUAGCUGUACUGAAAGUUGUGAACUAAGUCGAUAUUUCACUGAGUUAAUUAUUAUUAUUAUUUUAUUUUUUUAAUAAGUUUUUAUUAUUAUUUUUUUAAAUGGCAGCAACUUUUGUCUCGCGAUUAGUGAUUAUAGGAUUUUUACUUCCAUCAUCGUGGGGAGUGAGAAAUAAAUAUGAAGAACAACUUCUCAGUACGGAUGAUUUAAUAAUUAUAUAUGGUGUAGAAUUUGUUAAGAAACGUACUGAGGAAGCUGCAACUUGGGAAGCCGCGACUCGGGAAGCUGCGAUUCGGGAAAAUGUUAACGAAAGCGAAGAAACUUCAAUGGAAUCAUCCGAUGAAGAAGAUCAAUGACAUAUACUCACCAGUUUUUAGUACAUCGGAUCCUUAACUCGUAGACGCCGCUUAUAAGACUCGCGGAUACAAGGUUCAGUUGCUUAGAAGACUCAAAUUUCGUAAAAAUUAAUAAUUUUUGGUUAAAAUUUAGAAAUAAGUUAGAAAUAAAUACAACAAAUUUUAUCGCUUAUACUACAAUUUAUAGUGCGAGUUAUAAUAAUUUUAAUGUACAAAAUGAGUACGAGUAGUAACA